rnacentral:RNase_P_RNA from 1 species
GGGGCUUCGGCAACGCGGCCCGCAUGGCAAACCCCACCCGGAGCAAGGCCGAAUAGGGGUGGCGCGCCCGUGCAAGCGGGCAGGUGCGUUUCGCAUCGACCACCCGGGUUGGCUGCUUGAGCUGUGGAGCGAUCCGCAGCCUAGACGAAUGGCUGCCCCCGCGUGGCUGGUGUGCAAGCAUACCGCGCGCGGGACAGAACCCGGCUUACAGGCCCCCUGGCAUC